AUACGACGCCUUGGCUCCUGCGAACUUCGCCAAAUUCAUCAAACUUCAUCUCCUUCAACUUCUCAUUCUUCAGUCUUCUUCUUCUUCUUCCUCUGUUCAGGCUUUCGUCUCUUACAUUUUCUCAUACUUCAAUGGAAAAGAAGAAAAUCGUUUUGAAGUUGGAAUUACACGAUGACAAAACCAAGCAGAAGGCCAUGAAGAAUGUCUGUAGCCAUUUAGGAGUUGAAUCAGUGUCCAUGGACAUGAAGGAAAAGAAACUGACAGUAGUUGGGCAUGUUGGUAUAAUAAAUAUGGUGAAACAAUUGAGAAAGCUUUGUCACACAGAUUUAGUCUUGGUUGGAUCACCAGUAGAAGCAGCAGAAAAUAAGGAGGGGCCCAAGGAGCCCAAGAAACCAAAAGAGAAAAAAGACAGUAAAGAUGCUUCCUAUGGGAAUCCUGGCUAUGCCACAUUUGAUCAUUAUGAUCCAGGUCAUGUAGAAGAAUAUCCCAAUGCUUGUGUCAUAUGCUAAGUGGCACAUGAUUGAAGAAUGGUGUUUUGAGUUUUGGGUCUUGUAAAUGUUACUGAUAAGGCCUUGUCCAGUGGAGGGGAUGGCGGCUGAUUGAUUCCGGGCAAAUAUUUAUUUGCAAUUCUGUCAUGUCAGAAUGCUUACGAUGAAUGAUUACGAUUCUUUUGUGACGACACCGCUGUGGAAAAAUAAGUUCCUUGAUGAUCACGAAUCUGCGCGUGGUUCAUGAGUCUUGAAAUUCUGUCAACAAGCCUACUGGCUACUCCCCCCCCAUGAUAUCCACACAAAACCUAUGUUGCGUAGCCAUCUCCAUCAUUGAAUAAUUUAUAAUAAAAUUUGGAUAGUUGUUGUACGAUGCGGGCUUGAGUAGUAAGAUUUGAAAACAUGCAUGUAUUACCAUCCAAGUAUUCAUUCCAUGUUUAUGGAAGCAAUACUUUCUGAUUCACUCCAUUUAACCUUAGGUCGAACCCGAUACUUAAAUUGGUUCAUAUCAUUUUUUUUUUUUUUUUUAGCGUGAAUUCAAUUUGGAUUGAGAUUACACUUAGGUUAUUAGUUUCUCUAAACGACGUCAUCUCCCACGUAGGGUUUUUUGGCCAUUUUGUCCAUCUAUGCGUCUGGCAAGACUUGACCUGGGGUUGACACGGUUUUUAUUGUAUCUAUAAAUUAAUUUGGUGUUCCGGGAACGAACUCCAAAUUCAUAAAUUCUUCCACAUCAACUUCCCUUUCUCCACUACUCUUCUUUUUCAGUGUCUGGUCUGGUCUGGUAUCAUUUCCAUAACUCAAUGGAGACGAAGGAGUUACUUCAAUCUCCGUGGAUAUGAAGGACAAGAAAUUGACUGUAAUCGGAGAUGUGGAUCCAGUAUGCAUAGUGAGCAAGUUGAGGAAGUUUUGCCGCACAGAGAUAUUAUCAGUUGGACCAGCAAAAGAGCCAGAGAAGAAGAAGGAGCCUAAGAAAGAGGAGCCCAAGAAAGAAGA